AAACAGAUUUAAAUAUUAUUUGCAAAGCCUUGCGGACUGGCAUUGCUCAUGGAAGCCAUGUUUUACUAAUCUAUUGUUAUUGCUGCAAGUUAUACUAACAUGCACUUACCCAGUAUGUACAACCGUAGGUACCAAAUCAAUUAGAGAUGGCUUCGAGUCCUACCCUAGUUGUCAUGUCAGGAAGCCAUCCAGCUUUCUUGCAGAAGAAGGGUUCUAUGAGUAUUGGCUGUCUUGAAUGGCACCUGCGGUCUUUCAUCUCCAGUAGAAGCUUGAAAGUCUCUACCUGACCUAAAACUUGUAUUGUCAAAAUGAGAUGAUUGUAGAACAUCAGCAAAUUUGCAAAAUUUUCGUUUUGCUAAAGACCAACUUUUUACGAAAUCCUUUUUGGAGUUAAACAUUUCACUUUGACCCAUCUUACCCUAUGCAAUAAACACGCUUGAAGUAUUCCUGUAAACGACAGUGUAUGAGUUAAAUAUUUUGUCAUUAUUGCAGAAAAGCUGUAAAAAAAAUGGAAUAAAAAGACAAAAAUGUAGGCUUGGUUUAAUUGAGCACGUUUGUGGACGGUUGCAGAAAUGCAUGAUAUACCCUUUAGUCCCAGGUUGAGCAGAACUCAGUAUCUGCACAUGUUACAGGUACUUAAAUGCAAUAUAGAAUAUACAUCCGCAGGUGUGUUCAUAGAAUACAUGGAACCUUCAAUGAUACACUAAAGUGCAAUUCAGUAAAAAGAAGCGUACAGUCACCAGUUAAAAUAAUAGACUAGCUCUAAACGAGAAAACAAUGGAUAGAACUAAAGAAAAAAAAGUAAAAAAAAAAAACAGGCACCAUAUCCAAAGGACAACUGAAAAAUAACUAACAUCAAAAUAUUCAAGCUGCAAACCUAAACAGUACAACGUAAACAACAUACAUGUCGUUCCAAGACAUGAAGUACUGACUUGGAUAUCUUCUUGCAGUCAAUACAAAUUAUCAAUUCUUCGAACAAAAUUUCAAUUUUUCUAAAGAGAACGACUUGUGCAUUUUUAAUUACAGUAUUUAUAAAACACUGUGUUUUUAAUGAUUACCAUUCAAAACCGGUUACUGAAGGAGCUCCGAUCCUGUUGUAAGGGCCUGUUUUAACUAAUGUCUUGUUGGUAUAUUAAUAUACUUGUUGCGAUUUAAUCUCCUUUUGGGUCAUUUCAGUUUUGCACAUAGAAGAAGAAGGUCGUUUGCAAAUAAAUGCCAGGGUUGUUUUUGCUUCUAAUCGAAGGAAUCCUCGACUGUUUAUACUUGCUGAUGUUUAAUAUAUCAUGAUAGAUGGACGUAAUUAAUCUAUGCGCAUUUAGAUAUUGUGAUGGAAUACUUAUAUAGUAUUUUUAGAUUUUUGUUAAUUGAAUUAUCAGUUAUGCAGUUUAUUUAUAAAUCAGGGAGGUAGGCUGAUAUAAAUUUGCUUACUUUUGAUAUAGUUUGUAUUUAUUGUACGGAUAUAUCUGUGUAAUUACCGAAUGACUUAAUCGUUAAAUUGAUUAAUAGCUUUUCUGUUAUACUUUUCAGUUAUCAUAAUGACUAUUUGUUUUGUGACCUGCUACAAUUUAAUCCUGGAGUAUUGAGGUGCUUAUUUGUGUAUUACUGGAAGGUAUACUUUUAAACGAGAGGUAAAAGAGCAAGACGAUAUUCGAAGAUAAUGUCACGAUCAACACGUCAAAAACCCAAGGAGUUCCGCAACACAGUCCAAUUGAUACAGCCACACCGCAACGUCUCAGGUGAGUUGGCCCUGAUGUAGAGUAUUUAUAACGACUUGGGAGACCACGUUAACAUUACGAUGGUUAAUGGCGAAUUCAUAGAGUAAACAAUAUUGUUACGCUCAGAUCACAUUAAUAAGAGACAAGGUCAGAUAUUUCUUAUUACGGAAGCAGACUGAUAUCUAAAAUUUCAGUCAAGGUGUACACGCACAUUACUGUAUGCAUUAUAAAUAAUCAUCUCUUGGACCUCGUGGAAACUUUAGAUAGCAAAAACCGGCACCUGCAAGAGGGUCACUUAGACCUUCAUUCCCUCACCAAAACCCCUAUUAACUUAGCAGUAUUACAAGUCUAUCUUUCUUUAUAUCCAAAUACAUAAGUAUCAGAUGAAUUUUUAAAAGGUUCUAACAAAGGUUUUUUGAUUAUACAACCAGCGCCCUAGAGUCCAAACUUCUUGUCAAACUUUAAUUUCCGUUAAUUUCCGCAAAACCCUGCUGUAGCUAAUGAGAAAGUGAUGUAGGAAGAGCAGUUAAGCAGAAUAGCUGUUCCUUUUAAAGAAAUGCCUAGGCAGGGUGAAGGAGCUAUUGUUUCAUUAGUGCAUUAUUGCAAAAUGGCCAAAGUGGACAUUAAAUCUGCCUUUCGCCCUUUCGCCUUUUGAUGGCUCAUAAUUAUGAUUUUGAAAUUAUUAGGCUUCAAAUUAGGAGGGGACUAUUUUACGGACAAGGUGUUACAUACGAGUGUGCAAUCUCUUGCUGCCAUUGGAAAAAAGUUUGCUAAUUUAUUUCAAAAUCUUGUCCGGUACAAGAGGAAAUCCGAAAGGAAAAAUAUGGCCAAUUUGUCCUGUUUUUAUAUAUAUAUGCAAAUAUCUUACCAUACCCUUAAAAGCCGAAAAAAAAAAAAAAAAAAAAAAAAAAAAAAAAAAAAAACGUAUAUCAGAUUCCAAUAAUGAUGGUUUUAGGGCUAGAAUUGCUGCAGUUUCAAAAACUCAGAACAGGAAAUAAUAUCGUUACUAAGUAAGAAGAGCUUCGCGAGCUGCAGGCCUUUUAGUUGAUCUUUAAAUUUCUGUGGCAGAGCCAUUUCCUUUCUAGACUAUUUAGUAGUGUUUUCUAUGAUAUUAUGUGCAGUUUGUUAAAGUUUAUAUCAUUUUAAAGUGACCAGUUCAAUAACAGGUGAUUUGAGUGUCUGGUUAUCAUUUCUUGGCAUCUUUUAAUGGUUACUGCAGCUUCCACAACUUACACUGAUUGGUUAGUUCAGUCCUAAACUUCUUUACGGUUAGCGCUGGCGUACAUGAACUAGGUCAGCUGUUUUUCGAAGUAGAUAGAUAUUCUACAUUUGGCCUUCUAGGUGGUAUAGACGUUCUUAUAUGCAAUAGCAUAACCCUUUUAGAGUUAGUGCCGAUCAUGUCAGCUUCCCUUGCAUGGACAGACGAUUUCCACCUUACUGCACUAUUAACCCAUCUUUUAAUCAAGAAUGUAGUUCGUCAUGCAAAACGUCUGUAUAUUUCGGACAUUUCUUUUAUUGUAAAAUUAAUAAUCUUGAACAUCUUACUCACAGAUUUAUGAUACGUUAAAUGCUUAUCAUUUUUGAUAGGUUGCACCGGACAAUUGAUAUCAGGCAACCUGUAACGCUUGAUUUACUUCGUAAACUUAUACAGGUAACAAAUACUGUUUGCUCUUUUAUAUUUGAGGCAUUAUUCUUUUCAGCAGUAUUUUCCCUGACCAUUUUGAUUUUUAAGGAUAUGUGAGCUUGUACACACGAACUCAAAUUUACUCAUCGGAUAUAAGUGAUAAAGGUCACGCAUUACGUGAGGGAGACGUUACGAUUGUAAGUAAUGGUGAACUAUGCAUAAUUCUUCUUUCAUCGAAAACCAAUCAGAGAAAGGUGAAGGAGUAGCUAUUCAUUGACUACCGACCAUUGUUCUACUUGACCCUUAGAUUAAUAGAGAGAUAAAUGGUUGUUCGACCAUCUAGUGAUUCAAUCUAUUUAUUUGUGCGUUUAAACGGUGUACCCGUCAUACCUA